GAGAUACCCUUAUGGGGCACGACUUGUUUCAGUGUGGCUUUGAUGCUCACUGAGUCUGCCCUUUGAGUAUUUCUCU
rnacentral:pre_miRNA from 1 species